rnacentral:rRNA from 1 species
AGAGUUUGAUCCUGGCUCAGGAUGAACGCUGGCGGCGUGCUUAAUACAUGCAAGUCGAGCGGUAAGGCUUCUUCGGAGGUACACGAGCGGCGGACGGCUGAGUAACGCGUGGGAACGUACCCCAAAGUGAGGGAUAAGCACCAGAAAUGGUGUCUAAUACCGCAUGUGCUCUAAGGAGUAAAGCUCCGGCGCUUUGGGAA